rnacentral:lncRNA from 1 species
AUCCUGCUGAACUCCAGCCAGGGUUUCCCAAGGCUUUUUAGACAUCGUAGCUAUAGCAACGGGAACCCAAACAACUCUGUUCCCUACAUGACAUGACUUUGUUGGGUGUUUCUUACAGUUGGAAUUCAGCUGUGAUCAAAUGUAGAGGUGACAGCUCCGCCGAGGAGGUAUAACACACACACAGCAGGACCUAAUCAAGCUGCAAAGUCACCUGAAGAGAUGAGAGCAGUGGGAGCUGUAGGCAAUACGGGUGGAUUCAGGAGCAAUGCCAGCCCCACACCACACAGCGGAGAAAUCAAUCGCACUGUCACAAAAUGAAGAUUAGAAAUAGGAAUUUCUUCCUCCAUCAAAGUUGCACAAGAAGAACCUGAAAGACACUGGAGGGCCUUGACCACAACCUCACUCAUGAAGGGGAAAAUACUCAACUUGUAUAAUUUCUUAUGGAACUCACUUCCAAAAACAGUCUUUGCACUUGCACGAAACAAAAGACAGAAUGACCACCAGGCUGAUCACAAUAUGUCCCAAUCCAGCUGCAGCAAACAUGUCUUUCCUGUGAAAAUCUAUACACCUGUGAAAGCUGAAGGAAAAGCUCCAACUGGAACCACCAUCCUCAACUGUUACAUGAAGUUGUGUCUUCAUCUACAAGACUUGCAAGCUGAAGGCUACAAAAUAAACUUGGUUAGCACAUAUUUUGGUAUUUAUCACCCAAAAGUGCUGUCAGCCACCAGUGCUUUUUAUCAAAUUAGGAUAUAG